rnacentral:rRNA from 1 species
UGAGUGUUUACAUCUCUCCCAACCCCUGUGACAUACCAUAUCGUUGCCUCGGCGGUGCCCGUUUCGGCGGCCCGCCAGAGGACCCAAACCCUGUAUUAAAGUAUUCUUCUGAGUAAAUGAUUAAAUCAAUCAAAACUUUCAACAACGGAUCUCUUGGCUCUGGCAUCGAUGAAGAACGCAGCGAAAUGCGAUAAGUAAUGUGAAUUGCAGAAUUCAGUGAAUCAUCGAAUCUUUGAACGCACAUUGCGCCCGCCAGUAUUCUGGCGGGCAUGCCUGUCCGAGCGUCAUUUCAACCCUCAAGCCCCCGGGCUUGGUGUUGGAGAUCGGCGAGCCCUCCGGGGCGAGCGCCUCCCAAAAUUUAGGGGGGGCCCGCCGUAGCCUCCUUCGGGUAGUAGCACACCUCGCCACUGGAAACAGGGGUGCCACGCCCGUAAAACCCCCCACUUCUGAAAGGUUGACCUCGGAUCAGGUAGGAAU